UCUUCUUUGCUUUCCUUCUUUUUGUCUUUAAUCUCUUAUCUUUCACACUCUUAGUUCCUUGUCUUGCUAUUCUUUCCCUUUGCUGUGCUGGCUCUCUCCUGCUUUUCUCCUUAGAGUGCUCUAGGGUGGAAUUUUCAGAAACACCUGGGGAAGCUGUAGACCCAUGUUGAGUUCCAGUGCCAUGGAAGUUUAAUGCUGCCUCUCUAUGCCUCCUUAAAAAGUAAAGCUCCAGUGUUUCUUGGUAGCACAACUCAUUUCAGAAAAUGGCUAUCGCUGAAUAUGUUUUUAGGCAGUGGUUUCUCUGACUUUAUAUGGAGAUGGGUUUGUGAAUUUUGUUUCUUAGAUGAGAUGAGGUGGCUUUACUAGUGAAAAUCUCGCUGGUCUACGUUAUGACUGAUGAAUUUUUUAUUUGUUGAGAAGAGUCACUGUUUACAAAACUCUUCAGUAACAGUUGAUUCCUAGUGUAAAUGGUAUUUAAGGUCUGGUUUCUCUUAGCUUAUUGAUACUAAAGCAGACAGUAUUCUUGGCUGAAGGUGAUUGCUAUUGAUUACUUACCGUACCCUAAAAAAUUGAAAGGUUGGAGUGAAGUCUUUGUGUACAAACAGUAUAGAAAUUAGCAUAAAUUUAUGUGACAGAUGGGAUAAAGCGGUUUGAGAAUAUUCAUAUUAGUCUUGUUAUUUUAAACCUAUUUAUAAAAAAAUUCUGCAGCUCUACAAAGCAAUAGAGUUGGUCUGCAGAUACUUGAUAGUAUGGCAGAAACUUCAUGGCAGCUUCUGUAAGUAAACACCUGGGCACAUGCCUAGAACAUUAGCAUUACUUGGAGGCUGAAUGGGGCCAUCCUGGAUGUGGCUGGCUGGAGAGCUGUUGUUUAACAGGUGAUAUUCUCUGGAUACCUAUCUCAAGUAUCCUAGCUCCAGCAGCAAUAGAUCAUACCAAGAAUUUCAAGAUCAGAAAUGUGUUAGGAUAUAGUCAUGUAAGGACUUCUUGCAUGAUUGUCAGUAACUUCUGUCUUCCAAAUAAAUCAUUCUAGUAAGAAGCAAUGUUCAGUUUUCCUGGUAUUUUUUUGCUUUACUCGUGUGUCAGCUGUAUGUGCUUAGAAAUCAGUGGAAUGAAUUUGAAACUGCUGGGAAUCUGACUAGAAACCUUUGUGGGUGGAAUUUCUUUUGUAAUAUGUAACAUAAAAUUUACCCUGAAGAAAUCUGUGGCUUGGGCACAAAGGUUUAUCUGUGCUAAUGAUACCAUCACCUCACUUUCAGUUCAACAAGUAUAUGUUUUAAUUAUUGCAGAUAUUUGCAUGUGCUUUUAAUAUAGGCAGUAACAAUGAGAUGUGCCUAACACAAACCUGUACACUAAACAUGGUAUUAUGUGUGUAUCAGUAUACAACUUGAGGUGUGGGUUGUCUUUGCAAGUGGGAAGUUUCUGUAGUGAGAAGUGUCUUGUGAUUCACUGGUGAAAUCAGGUCUGUGCGACAGGUUCACUAAGAGUAAUGGUGGUGGAACAUAGGUCACAACUGGACAGACAUAGUUCUACCACCGUUGCUUCCAAAGUUUCUUCUGACUGUCUCUGUACUUUCCAAAAGUAAGACCACUAACUUCAGUGCCUGAAUGAUUGUAUUAUUUUUCCCAUGGUCAGAGUAGACUCCCUCCCUAAACCUAGUUGUGGAAUAUGAGGUAAGAUUGGCAAAGAGAAUUCAGGGUGCCCUUGAAGAAAGACGCCUAAGCUUUGCAAAAGAAAGCCAUAGAGAAUACAGAGCUUUAUAAGUCAUGAUGAAACUUUUUUCGGUCUAGAUGUGAGUAAGAUCCCUCAGGUGAUCUUAAUUCCAUACCUGUCCCCUGCUACAGUUUGUACUGUUCUGGGAAGAUGAAAAUGUCAGUAAGUAUAGUUUGAUCUUUUGACUGUACACAUGAAAUUGGUUACUUCUGUUGUAAACCAUGACCAUUUUCAUUGUUUAUACUUGUUAGUUACAUUAAUUGGAUACCUUACAAAUUUAAGAAGACUGAGUAGAAACUGUGCGGUGUCUUGACUCAAGAAGAGGUUGAGUGCAUUUUCAAGCUCUUGGUUAUCUUCAGUAUUGGAAAAUAGCAAAGAUGAAUAAACCUUUCUGCCCUCCUGAAUGCAGAAAGAAUGGAUUCUGUGAUCUGCAAGGAUCUUCUCCCAGGUUGUUUUGGCCUAAGGCCUGUGAAUUGCCAGGCAGAAUCUGACAGCAUGCCAAGUAUUCCUUAUGCUGGAAGACUUUUGUGAAGAGCUGAGAAAACUGCUUGAGAUUUUGCUAUAGAAGAAUGGCUUUGUAAGUGAAGACUCCUUAGAAUGUAACCUUGACUUUGUAAGUAAAGGUUCCUUAGAAUAAUUGACUGUUACUACUCAAAUUUGUAGUGGUAGAGGUUGCUAAUUGAUAACAUUGUGUUGUUCCAAUCUGCUGUCUGAAUUUUAUUUAGAAGCAGAGUUACCAGCAGGAUGGAAUUUCUCAAGGUUAGCUGAUGAUACCACGUUAGAAAAAUAAUAUAAAUGGAUGAUUUUAAUAGGUUUUGGCUCUGUUUUUUACUUUUGUUAUGAUGCUAUCCAGCUCUGAAAUAUUUAAGCCAGUUACUUGUAGGUGUCAUUCUCAUUGUACCUCAAAGGUCAGUUAAUUUUUGUUCCUGGAAGCAUUAGGAAUUCAAGGAGAGUGAUCAGAAAGCUGAAGGAGUAGAUUGUUGAGAAUUACAUGCCAGAAUACAGUUAUCUAGCCAAGAAUAAAGUGCUUUGGGGUGAUAAUUGAUUGAGGUGCAGGAUCCAGACCCUAGUUUUGAGGAAUACUGUGAUGGAUUUUUUUUCAGAGCAAAUAUUUCAUGUCAGCAGCUGAUAAAUACUGUUUGUAGUGCUUGCAUUAAGUUUUGUGUUGAGCUUCUUCCAAACAUAUUUUUCCUUUCUUUUAAUGUCCUUAUUCACAAAUUAAUGCUUUUGAAGAAAGCAGACACUUUUCUUGUACGUUAUGACAUGGCAUUAAAUGUCCCUAAUCUGUAAGGUGACACUGCCUUCAUGUUCGUUCAUACUGCUAAGCAUUUGCAAGUCUUGGCAGCGUGUAACUAUUGUAAAGGUCCAUACUGUAGCUUUUUCCAGUUAAUCGAGGAACUCUUGAGAAGCUGCUGGAACUCUGAGAAAUGUCUCAGAAGUGAGAAACUGCUGAGGAAGUACUUUGAAUGAUCUGAUUAGCUGUAUUCAAGGCAAAGCAGAUCACAGGGUUAAAGAAGACUAAAGAAGUUGUAAGUAACAGGGUUGUGAAUCCUUUUGUUUUCCUCCUGCAACAAUGGUAAGGAGUCUUCUAAUUGUACACAAGAAAAAUGGACUCACUCUUGGCUGUACCAUAGGCUCCCAGUUGCUGUAUAUGGGUAUGUUACUUGCACUGAAAGAUGUCUGCAAAUAAAAAGCUUCAAAACUAUCUGUAAAAUAUAUUUUAUGUGGACAUUAUUUCAGGUGCAGUGUCAUACCUCUUUGUUCCUGAAAAAUGAGUGUAGAAUUGUAAGCUUUAGGAAGGUGAGAAGUGCUAAAUUGCUUCUGAGUUUCAUUGCUGUGAGAGGUGUAGCAGUGAAGUAAGGUAGCUGCCAGCUCUAGCACAUGCAGAAGAGUCUUUAUCGAACUUUAUCGAACAACAGGUGUCAUCAAACACGCUCGCCAGGUGGAACCCGACUAUACCACUUGAUCUGUAUGUGCAUUUCACGGAAGGGGGGGGAGUAGGAGCGCUGGCCCAAGGCCUUCCUGAAAAAGCUCAGCCAAUACAAUGGAUAGUCCUGGGGAAAACGUCACGUGCUUUCUCUCCAGGAGUCGAGUGCCUCGGUAACCUCAUCAUGAAAGGCAGAAAACUCGCCCUAAGACAUCUGGGCAUUGAACCAGCCAGAAUAUACCUGCCCUUUCGCAAACAGCUCCCAACACAAUCAGUGGCAAUGUCAGAAUAUCUAGCUAUAGCCCUCGUUGGAUUUGGGGGAGAAGUCCGGUAUGCCACAAAGCCCCCCUGGACUCAAAUGCUAGCUAUUGUCGACAUCAACCUCCCACGGAAAAUCAUGGACCGGUCCCAACAGGGACCAACGGUCUUCACAGACGCAUCCUCAGCGACCUCAACCGCGGCAGCAGUAUGGCAAUCGGGAGGAGAAUGGCACUGUGUCAAAAUGACCAAUCGUGCAGUCUCCGUCCAACAGCUGGAAGCAACAGCUGUAGUGCUGGCGUGCGGACUGUUCCCGACAGAACAUCUCAACAUAGUAACUGAUUCAAUGUUUGUGGCCAAGCUUUGCUUAGCCAUGUCAGGGCCCGGCGUGUCAACAUCCACAAUAGCUCUGAUGCUGGAAGAAGCACUUUUUUCCCGAAAGGGCGCUAUAUCGGUUAUCCAUGUCAACAGCCAUAACCCAAUCAAAGGGUUCUUCCAAAUCGGCAACGACAAAGCAGACGCGGCUGCAAAAGGGUUGUGGACACUGAAAGAUGCCCGCCAAUUACAUGAGUCCCUCCACAUUGGAGCUAAAGCGUUAGCAAAGAGAUGUGGGAUCUCGGCCACUGACGCAAAACAUAUAGUAGCUACAUGUCCUCACUGUCAAAAAGCACCAUUGUGGUCUAGUGGAGUCAACCCCAGAGGUCUUAAAGCCUCUGAGGUGUGGCAGACAGAUUUUACGCUCUGCCAAUUGUUAAAACCUCGAGCACAGCUAGCAGUAACUGUAGACACAUAUAGCGGGGUGAUCGUAGCGACACAACACCUUAAGACUGACGCUAAAGCAACCAUCCAACAUUGGCUAACAGCCAUGGCGUGGCUUGGCAUCCCUAAUCAGAUCAAAACGGACAAUGGUCCAAAUUUUGUGUCUAAAUCAGUCCAGGCAUUCACUCUGAAGUAGGGUAUUACUCUAAUACACGGCAUCCCAUAUAAUAGUACAGGACAAGCCAUAGUCGAACGGGCAAAUCAAACUCUGAAAUCUAAAUUAGAGGUAUUAGCAAAAACAGAAGGUUUUACCAACGUCAUUCCCUCAGGGGACCAGGCACGCUUAUUAGUGGCAGCCCUAUUAGCUUUAAACCAGUUCCCCAGGGGAGAUGAGGUGAAUAGCCCUGCCCAGAAGCACUGGGCCACUUGAGCGCUAGAAGAAGGCCCAUCGGUCAUGAUCAGAAAUGAGCUAGGAGAAUGGGAACAAGGGUGGAAAUUAGUUCUGACGGGGCGAGGGUAUGCUGCGGUCAGAAAAGAUAACAGAAUCAAAUGGUGUCCACUUAAGUCUAUCAAGCCAGACCUUCAGAAUAAAACUAAUGAAAACUGUGAGGUUUUGUCUGCAGGACCGGAUCAUCGGACACCCCCGUAACCCAUAUACCCUGGUGACAAGAGAAGACAACGAGUCGGCAAGCGGCCUGUCCGCAUCUGAGAGCUCUGCACCGGCGGAGUCCAGACAACGGCGAAACAGCCCCCCGCAGGGCGGGGCUGCGAUGUUUUUGUGUGAUUUCAAUUUUGGGGUUCAUAACGCCGUCUAGGGGCUUGUAUGAACAUCAGCUGUGGGAAUGGGUACUGGCGAGAUGGGAGGACCAGAAGAUACUAUGAAAGAUUGUUACCCCGGGACCCCCUAGUUUCCAAGUAUAUCUCUGUGACCUAAUCCUCUCAACCCCCUGUUUGAACACUAUAAUGUAUUAUAUGUGUCCCAGCUCUAACCCUGGCAGAUCUUACUGUAACGUCCCUUAUCAGUAUUACUGUUCUCGCUGGGGCUGUGAAACCAUCGCAUCUGGCUGGAAGGUGGCGAAACCAGACCCGUUUCUUAAGACCAGUUGGGGGCCAACAGGCUGCACCCCUAGGAGACCAAACGCGUUGGGAGGGACAGUAUGCGGCGGGAAGUGUGACUGCCAAUAUAUUUUCUUAAACGUAACCAAUGAAAACGACCUGGGAUGGACCAUUGGCAAAACUUGGGGCAUUAGAUACUGGCAACCUGGCACAGAUAAGGGGGGACUGUUUUUUAUUAAAAAACAGGAAGUAAAAAGUGGAACAGCAAUUGGCGCCCAACGUGGCGCUCAAAGAAAAAGAGACAGGGAAGCGCAAUAAGGGUGGUUUGAAUCAUGGUUUAACCAAUCACUGUGGCUAGCCACCCUGAUAUCCACCUUGGUAGGGCCGAUUGCAGUAAUCCUGCUGACACUGAUCUUCGGACCCUGUAUAUUAAACAGGCUCAUGUCCUUUGUCAAGAGCCGGCUAGAAAAGGUCAACAUCAUGUUUGUAGAACACCAACAACUGCUUUAAAAAUGUACUUGAUCAGUAUUUCCCCCGAUUCUCCCUGGCUCUCCCCAGGUAUCCCAAGCUACACUCCAUUACCCCCAGUCGCUUCCCAAGUGCCAAUUGCUCAGUGUGCAAUUGUACUCUUUUUUUUUGAGAAAUAUUUUUACUAUUUUAGCCUGUUUAGUUAAGCAUAGGGAGAGGGGAAAUGUUGCUAGGUAGGGCCUGGCGGCCGGAAGAUGUUGUGCUGUACGGAAACAUAGGGCCCCCCUCCAGGUAGCCAACAGCUUUUAGCUUAUGAUAUAAGCAGACGGAAGUGACACUGUAAACCUAGGCUAUAUAGUGUCGCGCCGCUCAGCAAUAAACGCCAUUUGCCAUCCACCACAUUGUUGUCUGUGAGCUGAUGGACCGCGCGGCCAGGGGUUGGCCGCUGUGCCGUUCCUGAACCAGGUCACCGUGCGCCUGUGAAGGCAACAGGAAGGACAGCAGUUAAUGCUGUUUCCCAUAAGAGCUGGUGUGUUGUAACAGUCAAUAGAUUGCUCAGAAAACCUGUUAAAAUAGCAUUUGGCUUAAAGCUGUACUAGAAAUGUGGACAUUCUGUUCUGCCGAACAGGUUGAAGGUUUCUCUUCAUCCCUGCUCCCCAGUGACACCACCUUGGAGACUGCUAAGGGCAAGGCUGAAUGACUGUGUCCUAUUCAUAGUAAGGAUGAGGGGCUGCAGAAGGCUUUUGCCUGGAGCAAGGUGUCAGCUGUGAUGCAUGUUUAAAAGGAAAUUUUCGAGGUCGCAGAUACAAGUGUUUAAUUUGCUACGAUUACGAUCUCUGUGCAACUUGUUAUGAAAGUGGUGCAACAACGACAAGGCAUACAACUGACCAUCCAA